rnacentral:rRNA from 1 species
CAGUCGCCGCGGGAAUACAGAGGGUGCGAGCGUUAAUCGGAUUUACUGGGCGUAAAGCGUGCGUAGGCGGCUUUUUAAGUCGGAUGUGAAAUCCCUGAGCUUAACUUAGGAAUUGCAUUCGAUACUGGGAAGCUAGAGUAUGGGAGAGGAUGGUAGAAUUCCAGGUGUAGCGGUGAAAUGCGUAGAGAUCUGGAGGAAUACCGAUGGCGAAGGCAGCCAUCUGGCCUAAUACUGACGCUGAGGUACGAAAGCAUGGGGAGCAAACAGGAUUAGAUACCCCGGUAGUCCCUGUCUAUUAUAC